UGUAUUUUUCCUGAAUAAUUUUCUGUGUGUUCAUUGACUUAUUUCUCCAUUAGGCAAAAUGAAAAAAGGAAGAACAAAGAUUCCUCAUUGUGAAAGAGGAAGGCUCCACGGACAGCUUGUAUGAGCCAGUCCCAGAGCAGCAGACUAAUCAAGAAAGCACCUCUGUUGGGACUGGUUUUGUUAUCUCACCUUUUGGAGAGAGUGGAAAAGCACACGACAAUUUCUUCAUGGAAGUUUCUGACUUUGAGAAUGCACAACCAGAAAGAAAGUAAGUCAAGUUCACUUUGUAAGUUUUAUGUUGUUAGUUCUAUCAUGCUGAAUGGAAUAUUUUCGUGGUUUUCCUAUCAAAGUGCUUUUUUAAAAAUUGUCAUGUACAGAUCUAGAUAUGUUUCACUCUGCUACCAUUUAUCUGUUUAUGC
rnacentral:lncRNA from 1 species